UGGGGAAUAUUGCGCAAUGGGCGAAAGCCUGACGCAGCGACGCCGCGUGAGGGAUGAAGGUUCUCGGAUCGUAAACCUCUGUCAGGGGGGAAGAAACCCCCUCGUGUGAAUAAUGCGAGGGCUUGACGGUACCCCCAAAGGAAGCACCUGCUAACUCCGUGCCAGCAGCCGCGGUAAUACGGAGGGUGCAAGCGUUAAUCGGAAUCACUGGGCGUAAAGCGCACGUAGGCGGCUUGGUAAGUCAGGGGUGAAAUCCCACAGCCCAACUGUGGAACUGCCUUUGAUACUGCCAGGCUUGAGUACCGGAGAGGGUGGCGGAAUUCCAGGUGUAGGAGUGAAAUCCGUAGAUAUCUGGAGGAACACCGGUGGCGAAGGCGGCCACCUGGACGGUAACUGACGCUGAGGUGCGAAAGCGUGGGUAGCAAACAGG
rnacentral:rRNA from 1 species